UUACGGCCAUAUAGCGUUGAAACACCGGUUCGUAUAUGAUCACCGAAAUUACGCAACGUCGAGUCUGGUUCGUACUUAGAUGUAUGACCGCUUAGGAAUACCAGGUGCUGUAAG